rnacentral:rRNA from 1 species
GGGGGUAAAUUAAUAAAAAUAAAAUUAAUAAAAAAAUUUUUAAUAUUGGGGGGUAUUAAAGUAUUUUUUAAAGAAAAAAUGAAAAAAUUUAUAGUGAAUUAAUAUUGUAAAAUAAAUUUGAAAUAGUAUUGAAAAUUAAUUAAAAAAAAAGUAAAUUUAGUUUAUUGUAUCUUGUGUAUCAGAGUUUAUUUAAAAAUAUUUAAUAAAUAAUAAAAUCUCGAAUUUAAAAGAGUUAAUUAAUUAUAAAAGUUAAUGUUGAAUAAUUAUUUUAAAUAAUUAAUUAGAAAUGAAAUGUUAAUCGUUUUUAAAUAUAUCUAGUUUUUUUAGAAAAAAAUUUAAUUUUAAAUUUGGAAAAUCUUAUAUUUAAUUAAUUAAAUAUAAGAUUUCAAAAUUAAAUAUUUUAAGGGAUAAGCUUUAAUUUAAAUAUUUAUAAUAAAAAUAAUAUUAAUAAAAUUUUUAAAAUUUAUAUUGUUUAAAAAUUAUAAUUUAUUAAAAAAAAUUUUAUAAUAAAUAAAAUUUAAUUUAUAUAUUUAAUUUUUUAUAAAAAAUUAUUUUUUAAUUAUUAAGGAAUAGAAAUAAUGAUAAAAUUAGUAUAUCAUUAAAAAAAAUAUAAAUAUAAAUUAAAAUUAAUUUAAAGGAAUUCGGCAAAAAUUUAUAUUCACUUGUUUAUCAAAAACAUGUCUUUUAGAAAAUAAUUUAAAGUCUAAUCUGCCCACUGAUUGAUAAAAAUUAAAGGGCUGCAGUAUAUUGACUGUACAAAGGUAGCAUAAUCAUUAGUCUUUUAAUUGGAGACUUGUAUGAAAGAUUUGAUGAAAUAUAAACUGUCUCUAAAUUAUUAGUAAAAAUUAAUUUUUUAGUUAAAAAGCUAAAAUUUAUUUAAAAGACGAGAAGACCCUAUAGAGUUUUAUAAUAAUAAUAAUUAAAAUUAAAUAUAUAAAUAUAAAUUGAAAUUAUUAUUAUUAUUUUGUUGGGGUGACAAAAAAAUUAAUAAAACUUUUUUUAUAUAUUUCAUAAAUAAGUGAAUUAGUGAUCCAUUUGUAAUGAUUAAAAGAAAAAAUUACCUUAGGGAUAACAGCGUAAUUUUUUUUUUUAGUACAAAUAAAAAAAAAAGGUUGCGACCUCGAUGUUGGAUUAAGAUAAAAAUUAAAUGCAAAAGUUUAAAAUUUUGAUCUGUUCGAUCAUUAAAAUCUUACAUGAUCUGAGUUCAAACCGGUGUGAGCCAGGUUGGUUUCUAUCUUUAAAAAAUUAAAAUAUUUUAGUACGAAAGGAUCAAAUAUUUUAAAUAAUUUUAAAAAAAAAUGAAUAUUAAUAAAUUUAUUAUUU